GCAUGAUUAUUACCAUUGCACCCCAGUGUUUAUAAUACCUGGUCAUAGGAAGGAUGGAACAAACAAAAAAUAAAGGCAAACUUUUACCCCCAAAAAAAGAGAACAUGAGAAAGAGAUUACUUUUGUGAAUCAGAAAGGUCACCUAGGCCAAAUGGUGUCUCCGAGGCAGAAAGCAAGGGAACUCGGGCAGGGAAGAGAAUUGUGUGCCUGAAAAAGGCAUAGCCAGUUGAAGGCAGAGGAAGGUGGAGAAGGGCAAAUUGAGCUCAUCUGAUGACCUCUGAGGUUCAGUAAUAAAGUCUCCAGUUGCUAAAAGGGGAGGAGAAGACACCAGGGUAUGAAGGAGAGAAUUGGCAUGGCUGGGAAGAAAUAAGGAAGAGAGGUUUUACCUCUAGAUUAGACAACAUUAUAAGUGGCAGCACCUAGGGCAUUACUUUGUCUCUAAAGAGGAAGCAGAGGCUCUUGGUUUUAUGGAGUCCUAAAAAUGCUGUGUCAUCCUCCUGCUCUCACCUUUCCAGAAGACCUGGCAGCAGCUCCCGCACGCCUCACCCAAGACUUCCCAUUCCCUCUCAGAAAAACAGAUGCUACCUGUGUUUGACCCUAAUCACCCGGUGCGUACUUCCAUAAUGGCAAGCCAUUGCACUUCAUUGUAACUUAUGUUUCUAUUACGUACUUUCACUGUACAGUGAGUUUCUUAAGAGUAAGUGACUUCGCAUCAGCAACAACCAGCAAAAGGCAUGUUAACACAGUAGUCAUUUAAUGCCAGUUUCUUAAAUUAAUGAAUGAGUUGAGAAAAUAAUGUUUCAUUACUGAAAGGGGCUGUUGAGAUUCCUUUAUUUUAUAAAUGAGAAAUUUGCAUUAAGUGGUAAUGUUAUUUUGUCUUCCGAGUCAGCCAGAAGAUGAAUUAUGUGUCUCUCUUGCCCAUCAUUAUAUUCUAAAUGUCUAGUGUUUUGCACAGUAUAUAUGUCCAGUAAAUAAUGCUUAAAUGUUAAAGUUUAAAAUCUCAUAAUUAAUUAUGGUUAAUGCUAGUUUAAGAAGCAAGAUAUUCAAAUGCCA
rnacentral:lncRNA from 1 species